rnacentral:rRNA from 1 species
UAGCGAAGGGGGCUAGCGUUGUUCGGAAUUACUGGGCGUAAAGCGCACGUAGGCGGAUAUUUAAGUCAGGGGGUGAAAUCCCAGAGCUCAACUCUGGAACUGCCUUUGAUACUGGGUAUCUCGAGUAUGGAAGAGGUGAGUGGAAUUCCGAGUGUAGAGGUGAAAUUCGUAGAUAUUCGGAGGAACACCAGUGGCGAAGGCGGCUCACUGGUCCAUUACUGACGCUGGAGGUGCGAAAGCGUGGGGAGCAAACAGG